rnacentral:rRNA from 1 species
AAUCAACGCUGGCGGCGUGCCUCAGACAUGCAAGUCGAACGAUUAAAGCUCUCUUCGGAGAGUGCAUAGAGUGGCGCACGGGUGAGUAACACGUAAGUAAUCUACCUUCGAGUGGGAGUAACGUCCGGAACGGACGCUAUACCGCAUAAUGCAGCGGCAUCGCAAGAUGACAGUUGUUAAAGGAGCAAUUCGCUUGAAGAGGAGCUUGCGGCAGAUUAG